UGGGAGGUACUAGAGAACAUGAGAAUUAAGUAACAAGCGACUGGUGGGAAUGAGUGAGAAACUCCAGGGAAACACAGCCCCACGAAAUCUGCAGGUUAGCAGUGGCUGCAACCCCCCUGGAGGCUCUGCUCAUGUCUUCCGGGAGCACAGAGGAUGACACUUCUUUGAGACAAGAAGACAAAUCUGCAAUGUAACCUGAGACUGCAAGACCCUGAGAAUGCCGAAGCAGGAAGAGUGAUCGAGACUGACAAGAGCAUGACCAUGGUGAUCUCUCAGGAAGCAAAAUCAUUCCGUACAUGCAUAAGAAAUUCUGUCCAGAAACUGAACACUUCAGUGCUGGUGAACUUAUGAUGAAGUCAACUAAAUGAAGAGCUAAACUUAUAAUCUUAGUUGUCAUUUGGCUCUUGUUUUAUCAAAAUGUAAUUCUAAUAAAAUCAAAAUAAGGGUAUUCUUUUACUUCCUGAGUCUAAGAAAGGCAGGACCCGCUGCAAAUGUCUGUGAAUGUUGUAUUAGACCAUAUACUUUCUUUAAUAAAGCAAACAGUUUAGAGUAAA